rnacentral:rRNA from 1 species
AACCRACCUGGCUCACGCCGGUCUAAACUCAGAUCAUGUAAAAUUUUAAAGGUCGAACAGACCUAAUCACUUAGCUUCUACACCAAGAAUUUAUUUUAAUCCAACAUCGAGGUCGCAACCCUCCUCUUCGAUAAGAUCUCUAGAAAAGAUUACGCUGUUAUCCCUAAGGUAAUUUAAUCUUAUAAUCCAAAUACAGGCUCAAAUAACCACAAAUCAAUGUCUAAAGUAAAAAAAAGUUAACUCAAUUUUUCCAUCACCCCAACAAAAUAGUCCGCCCAACAGGCAAAUUUUGAGUUCUACUAAUUAACUUGUAGGGACGACUAUAAAACUCUAUAGGGUCUUCUCGUCUUCUAUUAAUAUCUAAGCUUUCUCACUUAAAAAUAAAAUUCAACUAAAUUUCCACAGAGACAGUCUUUCUUUCAUUAAACCUUUCAUUCCAGUUUUCAAUUAAAAAACUAAUGAUUAUGCUACCUUUGUACGGUCAAUUUACCGCAGCCAUUUAACUACUCAUUGGGCAGGCCARACUUGAAAUUAAUAUCAACAAGCC